rnacentral:rRNA from 1 species
GCCAGAUCCUCAGCCCACACACACAUCACCCAAUACACGAUAAGACAAAACAUUCUCAUCAUUAAGUAAAGGCGAUUGAAAAAUGACUAGGAGCCAUAACGAUAGUACCGCAAGGGAAACAUGAAAUAAAAUGAAAAAAUUAAAGUAUAACAAAGCAGAGCUCCUACCUCGUACCUUUUGCAUCAUGGUCUAGCCAGUCUAACCAAGCAAAGCGCCCCUUAAGUUUGACCCCCCGAAACUAGGCGAGCUACUUUUAAACAGCCUUACGAGCCAACCCAUCCCCGUAGCAGAGGGGCGGGAAGAUUUAAAAGUAGAGGCGACACACCUAUCGAGCCUAGAGAUAGCUGGUUAUUUAGGAAAAGGAUUCAAGUCCACCUUUAAGUUUUUCCUAGUACACUUAAACUUCAAACAAACUUAAAAGUCAUUCAAAUAAGGUACAGCCUAUUUGAACAAGGAAACAGCCUGCAGCAAGGGUAACGACCACUCCAUGUGACGAGGUAGGCCUAAGAGCAGCCAACCUUUAAAAAGCGUCCAAGCUUUACCACCAUUCAUCAUCAAUCCCACCAUCAACUCGCAACCCCAAACCACUACUAAAUAACCCCAUACCUGUAUGGGGAAUAUAAUGCUAGAACUAGUAACAAGAAGAAGAACUUCUCCUGAAUACAAACAUAGGCCACAAUGAACCAUUCACUGGCACUUACCGCUGCUAAGCCCACAGUAAUAACACCACAAGAAAACCCUACCCCACUCAGCGUUAACCUAACACCAGACUAUUACAGGAAGGAUUAAAAAAGGGGGAAGGAACUCGGCAAAUAUUAGCUCCGCCUGUUUACCAAAAACAUCGCCUCUUGACAAACUAUGAGAGGUCCAGCCUGCCCAGUGACAAAGUUAAACGGCCGCGGUACCCUAACCGUGCGAAGGUAGCAUAAUCACUUGUUCUUUAAAUCAGGACUAGUAUGAACGGCCUCACGAGAGCUAUACUGUCUCCCCCCUUCAAUCAGUGAAACUGAUCUCCUCGUGAAGAAGCGAGGAUAGUCAUAUAAGACGAGAAGACCCCGUGGAACUUAAAACUUGCACCACUGCCCCCAUACCACAUCCAAAUAAUUCGGACAGCAUGGCAGCGAGUCUUUCGGCUGGGGCGACCGCGGAGAAAAAUAAAACCCCCGUGAUGAAAGGAACACCCUAAUCAAAGAGCUACCGCUCUAAGAAUCAAUAAAUUGACACAUUGACCCAAACAUUUUUUUGAUCAACGAACCAAGUUACCCCGGGGAUAACAGCGCAAUCCAUUUCAAGAGACCCCAUCAACAAAUGGGCUUACGACCUCGAUGUUGGAUCAGGGUAUCCCAGUGGUGCAGCCGCUACUAAAGGUUCGUUCGUUCAACGAUUAAAACCCU